rnacentral:rRNA from 1 species
AGAGUUUGAUCCUGGCUCAGGAUGAACGCUAGCUACAGGCUUAACACAUGCAAGUCGAGGGGCAGCAUUUCAGUUUGCUUGCAAACUGGAGAUGGCGACCGGCGCACGGGUGAGUAACACGUAUCCAACCUGCCGAUAACUCGGGGAUAGCCUUUCGAAAGAAAGAUUAAUACCCGAUGGUAUAAUUAGACCGCAUGGUCUUAUUAUUAAAGAAUUUCGGUUAUCGAUGGGGAUGCGUUCCAUUAGGCAGUUGGUGAGGUAACGGCUCACCAAACCUUCGAUGGAUAGGGGUUCUGAGAGGAAGGUCCCCCACAUUGGAACUGAGACACGGUCCAAACUCCUACGGGAGGCGCA